rnacentral:SRP_RNA from 1 species
GAGAGUGGCCCUCGUUAGAGGGAACCGCGAACCGGGUCAGGCCUUAACCGGAGCAGCCCUAAGUGGGGUACCUUUGUUCGAGGGCCUCUUCCGUG